CAGCAGCCGCGGGAAUACGUAGGUGGCAAGCGUUGUCCGGAAUUAUUGGGCGUAAAGGGCUCGCAGGCGGUUUCUUAAGUCUGAUGUGAAAGCCCCCGGCUCAACCGGGGAGGGUCAUUGGAAACUGGGAAACUUGAGUGCAGAAGAGGAGAGUGGAAUUCCACGUGUAGCGGUGAAAUGCGUAGAGAUGUGGAGGAACACCAGUAGCGAAGGCGACUCUCUGGUCUGUAACUGACGCUGAGGAGUGAAAGCGUGGGGAGCGAACAGGAUUAGAUACCCGAGUAGUCCCUGUCUCUUAUAC
rnacentral:rRNA from 1 species